rnacentral:rRNA from 1 species
GCAGACGGCUCAGUAACGCGUAGUCAACCUACCCUAUGGACGGGGAUAACCUCGGGAAACUGAGAAUAACACCCGAUAGAACAUUAUGCCUGGAAUGGUUUAUGUUUCAAAUAAUUUAUUGCCGUAGGAUGGGACUGCGGCCUAUCAGUUUGUUGGUGAGGUAAUGGCCCACCAAGACUAUUACAGGUACGGGCUCUGAGAGGAGUAGCCCGGAGAUGGGUACUGAGACACGGACCCAGGCCCUAUGGGGCGCAGCAGGCGAGAAAACUUUGCAAUGUGCGAAAGCACGACAAGGUUAAUCCGAGUGGUUUCUGCUAAAGGAACCUUUUGUCAGUCCUAGAAACACUGAUGAAUAAGGGGUGGGCAAGUUCUGGUGUCAGCCGCCGCGGUAAAACCAGCACCUCAAGUGGUCAGGAUGAUUAUUGGGCCUAAAGCAUCCGUAGCCUGCUUUGCCAGUUUUCGGUUAAAUCCAUACGCUCAACGUAUGGGCUGCCGGGAAUACUACAAAGCUAGGGAGUGGGAGAGGUAGACGGUACUCGGUAGGAAGGGGUAAAAUCCUUUGAUCUAUUGAUGACCACCUGUGGCGAAGGCGGUCUACCAGAACACGUCCGACGGUGAGGGAUGAAAGCUGGGGGAGCAAACCGGAUUAGAUACCCGGGUAGUCCCAGCUGUAAACUAUGCAAACUCAGUGAUGCAUUGGCUUGAUGCCAAUGCAGUGCUGCAGGGAAGCCGUUAAGUUUGCCGCCUGGGAAGUACGUACGCAAGUAUGAAACUUAAAGGAAUUGGCGGGGGAGCACCACAAGGGGUGAAGCCUGCGGUUCAAUUGGAGUCAACGCCGGA